AUGGCAAGUAUAAGCUGGAUUCAAUAGAGUACAAAAAUGAAAUGAAUAUAUUUAAAGAAAAUAACACAAAAAUGGAAACAUAGGACAGCUGCUGUAUUCAACAAAGUGUACAUAAAGUGAACUGAGUAAUAAGAAUCAAAUGAGUGAAAACAGAAUGUACGUCAGCUUCUGUGUGUGAAAAUUGGGCGAAAAUCUUUAAAUGGGAUCAAACCUUCAGUAUAUUAGUGACGAGACAUUCGUUAAUGUUCUUCAAGAGCAUAUUACCUCCUUCAUCAGGCCAUAUAAACAAAUCACUAAGAAAACAGAGAGAGUGCGAUACAGAGAAAAAACAAAGGGGACAGCUUAGCCAUUAGCCAAGCAAACAAGCUUGAUGGACUGAAUGGUCUCGUUUCAUUUGUCCAAUUUUAUAAAGGCCUGUUGUAUGAAUGUUCAGUUUCACAAAAAAGGAUUCCACUGUAAUAGAUUAAUAAAUGGAAAGGGAUAUGAAGCUAAACAGGAAAAGAGCAGAGAUAAAAUAAUUACAUUAAAUAAAUUCUUUUAAAAAAAUUUAACAAAGGCCAAAAUGAAAGAAUUAGUAAGACUUGAUCCAGUUUUUAAUUUUUUUUUACAUUUUAUUUUAAGAAAAUAACAUUGCAUACAAUCAAGUCAAACUUAGACAAUAAAUUACUUCAUAGUCAAACUAGAAAACAUCAGAAAAAAAAAAUCAGAAAGUUAAAAUUAAAUGGAAAGGGAUAUAAAGUUAAACAGGAAAAGAGAAGAAAUAAAUUGAUUACAUUAAAUAAAUUCUUGAAAAAAAUUUUAACAAAAGCCAAAGUGAAAGAAUUCAUAGGGCUUGAUCCUUUUUGGUUUUUACUUAAUUUGAAGAAAAUAACAUUACAUACAGUCAAGUCAAACUUAUACAACCAAUGACUUCAUAGUCAAACAAAAAAAAAAUCAAAGUUAAAAAAAAGAAAGCAGAAACAAAAAGGGACAAAACCGAACAAAACAGAAUUUAAAGAUUUUUGCCCAAUUUGCAACACAAGGAUUCGAAGCCGAGGGAAAUUCUCAUUUUACACCACCUUUAUGAAACUUGGAAUGUUUUUUCAGUCAUGCGUGAACUUAUAUGGACUGUCUUUUGUGUUUUAUAUCUUUAUACAUUUUAUUCAUAUUUUUCUGUCUAAUAUGUAUUUCAUAUCAAUAUUGUAGUCAUCCGGGAGGAGCUCAGAG